rnacentral:rRNA from 1 species
GGCGCACGGGUGCGUAACGCGUGGGAAUCUGCCCUUGGGUUCGGAAUAACCGUUAGAAAUGACGGCUAAUACCGGAUGAUGACGUAAGUCCAAAGAUUUAUCGCCCGAGGAUGAGCCCGCGUAGGAUUAGCUAGUUGGUGGGGUAAAGGCCUACCAAGGCGACGAUCCUUAGCUGGUCUGAGAGGAUGAUCAGCCACACUGGGACUGAGACACGGCCCAGACUCCUACGGGAGGCAGCAGUGGGGAAUAUUGGACAAUGGGCGCAAGCCUGAUCCAGCCAUGCCGCGUGAGUGAUGAAGGCCUUAGGGUUGUAAAGCUCUUUUAUCCGGGACGAUAAUGACGGUACCGGAGGAAUAAGCCCCGGCUAACUUCGUGCCAGCAGCCGCGGUAAU